AUUGAACGCUGGCGGCAGGCCUAACACAUGCAAGUCGAGCGGAUGAAGGGAGCUUGCUCCUGGAUUCAGCGGCGGACGGGUGAGUAAUGCCUAGGAAUCUGCCUGGUAGUGGGGGAUAACGUCCGGAAACGGGCGCUAAUACCGCAUACGUCCUGAGGGAGAAAGUGGGGGAUCUUCGGACCUCACGCUAUCAGAUGAGCCUAGGUCGGAUUAGCUAGUUGGUGGGGUAAAGGCCUACCAAGGCGACGAUCCGUAACUGGUCUGAGAGGAUGAUCAGUCACACUGGAAAUGAGACACGGUCCGAACCCCUACGGGGGGCAGCAGUGGGGAAUAUUGGAAAAUGGGCGAAAGCCUGACCCAGCCAUGCCGGGUGGGGGAAGAAGGUCUUCGGAUUGUAAAGCCCUUUAAGUUGGGAGGAAGGGCAGUAAGUUAAUACCUUGCUUUUUUGACGUUACCAAAAGAAUAAGCACCGGCUAACUUCGU
rnacentral:rRNA from 1 species